ACGGAGGGAGCUAGCGUUGUUCGGAAUUACUGGGCGUAAAGCGCACGUAGGCGGCUAAUCAAGUCAGAGGUGAAAGCCCGGGGCUUAACUCGGGAAUUGCCAUUGAAACUAGGUAGCUAGAAUCUUGGAGAGGUCAGUGGAAUUCCGAGUGUAGAGGUGAAAUUCGUAGAUAUUCGGAAGAACACCAGUGGCGAAGGCGGCUGACUGGACAAUUAUUGACGCUGAGGUGCGAAAGCGUGGGGAGCAAACAG
rnacentral:rRNA from 1 species